rnacentral:rRNA from 1 species
AUAUCAGUCAUGCAUAGCAUAUCAAUAAGCGGAGGAAAAGAAACUAACAAGGAUUCCCUUAGUAACGGCGAGUGAAGCGGGAAGAGCUCAAAUUUGAAAUCUUCAAGGUUCUACCUUGACGAAUUGUAGUUUAUAGAAGUGUUUUCUGUUAGUGGAGUGGCAAAAGUUCUUUGGAAUAGGACAUCAUAGAGGGUGAGAAUCCCGUAUUUGGUCAUUCCUCCUAGCGUUGUGAUACACUUUCAACGAGUCGGAUUGUUUGGGAAUGCAGUCCAAAAUGGGUGGUAAAUUUCAUCUAAAGCUAAAUAUUGGCGAGAGACCGAUAGCGAACAAGUACCGUGAGGGAAAGAUGAAAAGAACUUUGAAAAGAGAGUUAAACAGUACGUGAAAUUGUCAAAAGGGAAGCGUUUGACACCAGUGUUGUUUUUCCGAAAAUCAAUUACGAAUGUUUUGUUUUUGAGAGAGUUAUGACUUCAUCGGCUUGCUUCCUUUCUUUACUGAAACUUUCUUAAUGCACUUUUCGGUUAACAAGUCAACAUCAAUUUCUUUUGUUGUAAAAGGGUAUGAGGAAGGUGGCUUUCUUUUCGGAGAAAGUGUUUAUAGCCUUGUGCCUCUGCAAUCGGAGAGAUUGAGGUCUGCAGCGUAGAUCCUUCGGGGUUAGAUACGUUUGUGCUAAGUUAUAGCUUUUCAUAGACAACUUGUUGACUAUGUUUAGUCUUGUAGCUUACUCGCUGACGCUAUUUUACCUACGCUUAGGAUGUUGAUCUCUCACAGUCGAGC